UACAGAGGGUGCGAGCGUUGUCCGGAAUCACUGGGCGUAAAGGGCGCGUAGGUGGCUUGCCAAGCGUGUGGUGAAAGCCCGGGGCUCAACUCCGGAACUGCCUUUAAGACUGCAUCGCUUGAAUCCAGGAGAGGUGAGUGGAAUUCCGAGUGUAGAGGUGAAAUUCGUAGAUAUUCGGAAGAACACCAGUGGCGAAGGCGGCUCACUGGACUGGUAUUGACGCUGAGGUGCGAAAGCGUGGGGAGCAAACAGG
rnacentral:rRNA from 1 species